rnacentral:rRNA from 1 species
AGCGAACGCUGGCGGCAUACUUAACACAUGCAAGACGCACGAACCUUUCGGGGUUAGUGGCGGACGGGUGAGUAACGCGUAGGAAUCUGUCCACGGGUGGGGGAUAACUCUGGGAAACUGGAGCUAAUACCGCAUGAUACCUGAGGGUCAAAGGCGCAAGUCGCCUGUGGAGGAGCCUGCGUUCGAUUAGCUAGUUGGUGGGGUAAAGGCCUACCAAGGCGAUGAUCGAUAGCUGGUUUGAGAGGAUGAUCAGCCACACUGGGACUGAGACACGGCCCAGACUCCUACGGGAGGCAGCAGUGGGGAAUAUUGGACAAUGGGGGCAACCCUGAUCCAGCAAUGCCGCGUGUGUGAAGAAGGUCUUCGGAUUGUAAAGCACUUUCGACGGGGACGAUGAUGACGGUACCCGUAGAAGAAGCCCCGGCUAACUUCGUGCCAGCAGCCGCCGUAA